CUAACCUUGUAAGGGAAGCACAAAGCAAAGAGGCUGUGGCUGCUGUCAUCCCUCAAAGAGCAGUGGAGAGAAAAUAUUUGGUGGGGGCUGCAGGAGACCAAAGCAGCUAGAAAGCCCACCAGAAAGCCAGAAAGCCCAGCCCAGCAUGGGUGAAGGCCCCCUGGAGACAGCCACGCAGCCUGCAGCCAGCAACAUCUAGAGGCUCUUGUCCCCAGCAACUGGUUUUCUGCUCACCCACCAUUCCCAUGAGCCUUGUGAAUCCUUCAUCAGAAGUAGCACUGCUUGGGAGCGGCUGUGUGUGAAGCUGUGAACAGAAAGCCUGAUUGCCUUGGAGACUCCAAGAUACUGGAGAUGCCAGAGUCACGUGACACCUGCUGAGGAGAGCUGCUAACAGGAAGAGGAACCAGCCCAAGAGAAAGAAGUGUGUUGCAGUCAGCAAAGCUGAAAGGUGUUGGAGAUCUGAAGAGGCUUUGGUGUCAGACACAGAGAUGCAGAGUUUAGAGUUUGCCCAGCUAGUUUUUAGUUUUGCUUUGGUUCAGUAUUUCUCCACUAUGUUCCAUUUCCUCCCUUUUGGAAUGGUAAUGUAUAUUCUGUGCCUUUGUAUGUUGGAAGU